rnacentral:tRNA from 1 species
GUGGUGAGCAUAGCUGCCUUCCAAGCAGUAGACCCGGGUUAGAUUCCUGGCCAAGGCU